UUUGGCGUGGCCAGUCUGAAAAUAUGUUGCCGGGACUUUUAUGUGAGUGUGGUGACUUUGUGUGGCGAGAACGAAGGAGAGGAUUCCUUGUGGAGAAAUCUAACUGUGUGGAGUAGUCUUCUCGCUUUGCUGAUCCGUUCGUGAACUCUGGUGACCCUGGACCCUUUUCCCUCACCUCUAAACUGUGCAUGAGGAGUGUUAAAUAAAUAGUCCCUCCUCCGUCUCGUGACAGAAUAAUUCACCCACCGUCAUGGACUCGGCAGACUCAGUGUCCUCAGCUACACCCCCAAUCUCCCUGGAGGAGUUAUUGCAACGGCAUGAGCAAAUGUUAGUGCGACUCAGUGGAGAGGUGGCUACUCUGAUCCAGGCCAUCGCUCAACGGACCCUGUUGGCAGAGAACUCACCUCCCGCAGCACCCCCUCAGUGAGAAGGAGCGAGAGAGAGACAACUGGAGUGACGGAGUGGCUGCGUCCAGGGUAGGAGCCAGAAACUGCAGAGAAAUCACACUUGUUUAGGCUCCACAACAUCCCGGCGGCUAUAGUCUCCGACAGAGGACCUGAAGUCACCUCCCGAGUAUGGAAGGAGUUCUGCACAAUGCUGGGUGCUAAGGUACUCCUGGGACCACAUUCUACCUUCUUUGCCAUCAUCUUGGCCUUCAGCCCUCACCUUCAGCCCCCAAUCCCCAGUCGCAACCUGUGGUCUCCUGUCUGAGAUGAUCCUUCCAGUGAUUAAUGCAGGAGGGAGGAGGAGACCCUGCUGCCAGCCCAUAUUGAGAGCCAUUUUAAAUCUCUAGCCUGCUGUGGGGCUCAACUUGAGGGGAGGAUCUCCUAUUUCUGUGUCUUUUUAUUGUUAUUUUUUGCAUCUGGGUUGCAGUAAUCUACAGCUGAAAGCAUGC